GUGGGGAAUUUUGGACAAUGGGGGCAACCCUGAUCCAGCCAUGCCGCGUGCGGGAAGAAGGCCUUCGGGUUGUAAACCGCUUUUGUCAGGGAAGAAACGCUCCGGGCUAAUACCUCGGGGUAAUGACGGUACCUGAAGAAUAAGCACCGGCUAACUACGUGCCAGCAGCCGCGGUAAUACGUAGGGUGCAAGCGUUAAUCGGAAUUACUGGGCGUAAAGCGUGCGCAGGUGGUUGUGCAAGACAGAUGUGAAAUCCCCGGGCUUAACCUGGGAACUGCAUUUGUGACUGCAUGGCUAGAGUGCGGCAGAGGGGGAUGGAAUUCCGCGUGUAGCAGUGAAAUGCGUAGAUAUGCGGAGGAACACCGAUGGCGAAGGCAAUCCCCUGGGCCUGCACUGACACUCAUGCACGAAAGCGUGGGGAGCAAACAGGAUUAGAUACCCGAGUAGUCC
rnacentral:rRNA from 1 species